rfam:Echinostoma caproni strain Egypt genome assembly, scaffold: ECPE_scaffold0012814
GGCCUCGUAGCUCAGCUGGUAGAGCAUCCGCGUACAAAGCGUAGGCAGCGUCCAUGCGUUGGUCCGAAUCCCACCGGGACUA